rnacentral:lncRNA from 1 species
UUUCCUUAGGCCGACUUGGACAAUUCUUGUGCAGUAAGUCUCGUCUUGCAUAUACACACAUGCUGGAAUUAAUAUUUGAAGCAAAUCUUGAACGAGAUUGACAGAAAAAAUUCUGCACUUAAAACAGAGCAUCAGGAUGCUGUACGAGGAUGCUGCAGCAUCUUUGUCCAGCAUCUGGCAAAGUUGGCUUUUACAAAAUGUAGCCAAACACAAAACCCAACAAUCUCCCCCUUUGGCAAAUUUUGGCUAAAACAACUUUGGCCCAGUGCAUGGAGAGAUACUGUCUAGGCUUUCCUUCGAGUCAACAUAAACAC